rnacentral:rRNA from 1 species
CUGAGAGGAUGACCAGCCACACUGGAACUGAGACACGGUCCAGACUCCUACGGGAGGCAGCAGUGGGGAAUAUUGCACAAUGGGCGCAAGCCUGAUGCAGCCAUGCCGCGUGUGUGAAGAAGGCCUUCGGGUUGUAAAGCACUUUCAGCGGGGAGGAAGGCGAUAAGGUUAAUAACCUUGUCGAUUGACGUUACCCGCAGAAGAAGCACCGGCUAACUCCGUGCCAGCAGCCGCGGUAAUACGGAGGGUGCAAGCGUUAAUCGGAAUUACUGGGCGUAAAGCGCACGCAGGCGGUCUGUCAAGUCGGAUGUGAAAUCCCCGGGCUCAACCUGGGAACUGCAUUCGAAACUGGCAGGCUAGAGUCUUGUAGAGGGGGGUAGAAUUCCAGGUGUAGCGGUGAAAUGCGUAGAGAUCUGGAGGAAUACCGGUGGCGAAGGCAGCCCCCUGGACAAAGACUGACGCUCAGGUGCGAAAGCGUGGGGAGCAAACAGGAUUAGAUACCCUGGUAGUCCACGCCGUAAACGAUGUCGAUUUGGAGGUUGUGCCCUUGAGGCGUGGCUUCCGGAGCUAACGCGUUAAAUCGACCGCCUGGGGAGUACGGCCGCAAGGUUAAAACUCAAAUGAAUUGACGGGGGCCCGCACAAGCGGUGGAGCAUGUGGUUUAAUUCGAUGCAACGCGAAGAACCUUACCUGGUCUUGACAUCCACAGAACUUUCCAGAGAUGGAUUGGUGCCUUCGGGAACUGUGAGACAGGUGCUGCAUGGCUGUCGUCAGCUCGUGUUGUGAAAUGUUGGGUUAAGUCCCGCAACGAGCGCAACCCUUAUCCUUUGUUGCCAGCGGUCCGGCCGGGAACUCAAAGGAGACUGCCAGUGAUAAACUGGAGGAAGGU